rnacentral:rRNA from 1 species
UCAUCUAAAGCUAAAUACUGGCCAGAGACCGAUAGCGCACAAGUAGAGUGAUCGAAAGAUGAAAAGCACUUUGGAAAGAGAGUUAAACAGUACGUGAAAUUGUUGAAAGGGAAGCGCUUGCAAUCAGACUUGCAUGCAGUUGAUCAUCCGGUGUUCUCACCGGUGCACUCAGCUGCAUUCAGGCCAGCAUCAGUUUCGGUGGUUGGAUAAAGGCUCUGGGAACGUAGCUUCUUUCGGGGAGUGUUAUAGCCCAGGGUGCAAUGCAGCCUACCGGGACUGAGGACCGCGCUUCGGCUAGGAUGCUGGCGUAAUGGUUGUAAGCGACCCGUCUUGAAACACGGACCAAGGAGUCUAACAUUUAUGCGAGUGUUUGGGUGUCAAACCCAUACGCGUAAUGAAAGUGAACGGAGGUGAGAACCCUUAAGGGUGCAUCAUCGACCGAUCCUGAUGUCUUCGGAUGGAUUUGAGUAAGAGCAUAACUGUUGGGACCCGAAAGAUGGUGAACUAUGCGUGGAUAGGGUGAAGCCAGAGGAAACUCUGGUGGAGGCUCGCAGCGGUUCUGACGUGCAAAUCGAUCGUCAAAUCUGCGUAUAGGGGCGAAAGACUAAUCGAACCAUCUGAACCUACUGCUGGAUGGAACAUCUAGGUGCUGGAAGUACCUACGUAGUCUCUGCGGAGGCAACAUUACCACUGUGCAGGCGUGUCAUCUGGCUACCUGCAGCGGGGCAACCCGUCCACAGACUAAACGGUGAUGGCCCUAUCUCUAGGGUUCUGAUAUAGCCGAUUCCUGCCUCUAGCCGGCAG